CCUAGGGUGGCAGCAGUGGGGAAUAUUGCACAAUGGGGGAAACCCUGAUGCAGCGACGCCGCGUGAGUGAAGAAGUAUUUCGGUAUGUAUAGCCCUAUCAGCAGGGAAGAAAAUGACGGUACCUGACUAAGAAGCCCUGGCGAACUACGUGCCAGCAGCCGCGGUAAUACGUAAGGGGCAAGCGUUCUCCGGAUUUACUGGGUGUAAAGGGAGCGUAGACGGCCAGACAAGUCAGAAGUGAAAGCCCAGGGCUCAACCCUGUGACUGCUUUUGAAACUGUCGGGCUGGAGUGCAGGAGAGGUAAGCGGAAUUCCUAGUGUAGCGGUGAAAUGCGUAGAUAUUAGGAGGAACACCAGUGGCGAAGGCAGCUUACUGGACUGUAACUGACGUUGAGGCUCGAAAGCGUGGGGAGCAAACAGGAUUAGAUACCCCUGUAGUC
rnacentral:rRNA from 1 species